CAGCCGCCGCGGUAAUACAGAGGGUGCGAGCGUUAAUCGGAUUCAUUGGGCGUAAAGGGUGCGUAGGCGGUUUGUUGCGUCGGGAGUGAAAACCCAGGGCUUAACUUUGGGCUUGCUUUCGAUACGGGCAGACUUGAGGCAUUGAGGGGAGAACGGAAUUCCUGGUGUAGCGGUGAAAUGCGCAGAUAUCAGGAGGAACACCGGUGGCGAAGGCGGCUCUCUGGGCCGUAACUGACGCUGAGGAGCGAAAGCGUGGGGAGCGAACAGGAUUAGAUACCCGAGUAGUCCCUGUCUCUUAUAC
rnacentral:rRNA from 1 species